GAAAAGCCUUAUAUAUGAAAUAUACGUAGUAAAUUUUUUAAGUGUAGCACAAGUCUCAGUCAAUGUAAGCGAAUUCAUGUUAGAGAGAGUUGAGUUGAAUGUAAGGAAUGUGGAAAAGUGUAUUCAGAGCUCCUCUCAUCUUUGUUUUGAGAGCACUCACACAGUUGACAAACCCUCCAGAUGUUCUGAAUGUGAGAAAUCCCUGUUUAUGGUAAAUACUUUCUGACAUCAGAGAAGUCAUACUGGAGAGAGACCAUAUAAAUGUAGUAUGUGUAAAGAAGUCUUUAAACAGAGCUCAACCCCACUGAUGUAUGAGCAAACUCUCUCAGGAAAUAGACCUUACAAAUGUGUUGAGUGUUGGAGAGUCUUUAUUAAGAAAUAUUUCUUUCAGUAUGUUUCAGAACUUAUACAGGAGAACAAUACUAUAAAUGUAAUCGCUGUAGCAAAGGCUGUAGACACAAAUUAUACCUUAUUCAAUAUGAGACAAUUUAUACUUGUGGGAAAUUAUAUAUUUGCAGUGAAUUUAGGAAAUUCUUCUAAAGAAGUGAACACUUUUACCCUAUAGCUAAGAAUCUAUAGAGACACCUUAUGAAGGGAAUCAUUCAGGGAAAGGUUUUACACUUUGCUCCUCCACUACUCAAAAAUCACAGAAGACACACUGGAGAGCAAAGUGAUGGAUACAGUCAUCGUGGGAAAGGCUUCAGACGUAGCCUAGCCCUUAUGAUGUGACAUCAGAGGACUCAUACUGAGGAAAACCCCAUACAUGUAAUUUGCGUGGAAGAGCAUUCAGGAGUUGUUCUCAUAUUAUUGAACGUAAGAGGACUCAUACUGGAGAACACUAUGAAUGCAGUCAGUAUUGGCAAGCUUUCAACCAUGGCUUUUACCUUAUUUGACACCAGGAAAUUCAAACAAAUUAGAAAAACUCAUUGAAAAAAGAUCAAUGUGGAAAAGCUAUUGGUUGGAAUUCCAUUUUAUUUGAC
rnacentral:lncRNA from 1 species